UGCCCACCGACCCAAGUCUGUCUGCUUACAAGACGGUGUUCCGGAACCAGACCUUCGCCUCCGAUCUCUUCAACUCGGUCUUCUACGCGCUCGCCGCGGUUGCUCUCGCCGUGGUGCUUUCCGCACCCGCCGGCUACGCGGCGUCGCGCUUCGAGUUCCGGGGAAAACGCGCGGUCAUGCUGCUGAUUUUGUCGACGUCGAUGAUCCCUGCCGUCGCCUUGCUGGUGCCCACCUACUAUCUGCUGGACAAACUGGGCCUGUUGAACAACCCCAUGGUCAUCAUCGUGCUGCAGGCCGCACGACUGGUACCGCAGACGGUCUGGUUCAUGCAGAACUUCGUGGACGCCGUGCCCCGCGAACUUGACGAGGCGACGCAGGUUGAUGGCGCCAAUCACUGGCA
rnacentral:misc_RNA from 1 species